rnacentral:rRNA from 1 species
ACUGAGGAACGAAAGCAUGGGUAGCGAAGAGGAUUAGAUACCCUCGUAGUCCAUGCCGUAAACGAUGUGUGUUAGACGUUGGAAAUUUAUUUUCAGUGUCGCAGCGAAAGCGAUAAACACACCGCCUGGGGAGUACGACCGCAAGGUUAAAACUCAAAUGAAUUGACGGGGACCCGCACAAGUAGUGGAGCAUGUGGUUUAAUUCGAAGAUACGCGCAGAACCUUACCAACACUUGACAUGUUCGUCGCGACUCUAAGAGAUUAGAGUUUUCGGUUCGGCCGGACGAAACACAGGUGCUGCAUGGCUGUCGUCAGCUCGUGUCGUGAGAUGUUGGGUUAAGUCCCGCAACGAGCGCAACCCUCACUUUUAGUUGCCAUCAUUUAGUUGGGCACUCUGAAAGAACUGCCAGUGAUAAGCUGGAGGAAGGUGGGGAUGACGUCAAGUCCUCAUGGCCCUUACGUGUUGGGCUACACACGUGCUACAAUGGUAUUUACAACAGGAAGCAAAACGGCGACGUUAAGCAAAUCCUCAAAAGAUACCUCAGUUCGGAUUGCACUCUGCAACUCGAGUGCAUGAAGCUGGAAUUACUAGUAAUCGUGGAUCAGCGUGCCACGGUGAAUGCGUUCCCGGGCCUUGUACACACCGCCC